rnacentral:rRNA from 1 species
AGUGAACGCUGGCGGCGUGCCUAAUACAUGCAAGUCGAACGGAGUGGCUCACGGGUGAGUAAUGUAUAGCUAAUCUUCCCUACACUAGAGGACAACAGUUUGAAACGACUGCUAAUACUCUAUAGUGUCAGAUGAGGGUAUAUUGUAUCAGUUAGUUGGUGAGGUAAUGGCUCACCAAGGCUAUGACGCAUAACUGGUCUGAUAGGAUGAGCAGUCACACUGGAACUGAGACACGGUCCGGAAUCCUACGGGAGGCAGCAGUAGGGGAUAUUGCUCAAUGGGGGAAACCCUGAAGCAGCAACGCCGCGUGGAGGAUGACACGUUUCGGAGCGUAAAAUCCUUUUGUUAGGGAAGCGGUACCUAACGAAUAAGCACCGGCUAACUCCGUGCCAGCAGCCGCGGUAAUUC